rnacentral:rRNA from 1 species
UACGGGGGGGGGCAAGCGUUGUUCGGAAUUACUGGGCGUAAAGGGCUCGUAGGCGGCCAACUAAGUCAGACGUGAAAUCCCCAGGCUCAACCUGGGAACUGCGUCUGAUACUGGAUGGCUUGAAUCCGGGAGAGGGAUGCAGAAUUCCAGGUGUAGCGGUGAAAUGCGUAGAUAUCAGGAGGAACACCGGUGGCGAAGGCGGCACUCUGGGCCGGUACUGACGCUGAGGAGCGAAAGCGUGGGGAGCGAACAGG